rnacentral:tRNA from 1 species
GGCACUAUAGCCAAGUGGUUACGGCGACAGAUUCGAAACUUGGUAUCUGUUCCUCUUUGAGGGCGCAGGUUCAAAUCCUGCUGGUGUCG